UCCUUCCCAUCUAUGUCUCAGGAAGGAUGUGUCUGAGGGAGCACCUGAGGGCAUCCUGGGUCAGGCUCAAGACUUGGGCUUUUCAGUCAGCGCACCCUUUUCUGCCAAGAAUUAGUCAUACCUCAUUGUAUUUUCCAUAGAGCCUAGAUAAAGCAUCUCCUACCUUAUUCUGUGCAUUCACAUCUCAUGUCAUUGCAGCUACAUCAGAAAUGGAAAAAAAGCCCAUCAGUUUGACUCUUGUGCACUGGGCUGUGCUUGUUGUUAUGCCCGUUGCUCAUGAGUUAUUUAUGCUUGCUUGCUGGGUGGUGGGUGUUCUCCAGACCUCCCGGGACUGGCCUUGCUCAAGAGGGCCCACAAGCCCCCCCAGACAAGCACGUGCAGCAGACAGCAAUAGCCAGUAUGCCUUUGUUGUCUCAGUGGUUACAUUUUCAGAGGGUGGCCUGUGCACAUGGAGAGAGGGUGGGCAAGGCUACCUGCUUUGCUGUGGCCUUGGCAACUAGUUAGAAAAUGAGCUAAAAAGGAAAUUUGUGAAGCUAAAAAUGUAGUUCAAGAUGAGAAGGUGCUUUUGCAAGGCCCAUCCGUGUUUUCAAGUCACACUCAGAGUCUUUUCGGAGCUGUGGUAAAAGGAACAAAGCUGAAAAGUAGCAGGGAGAACCACAGGGGAGAACCACAGGGGAUCGAGCAAGCCAUUGUAAAGCGAGCCGUAGCUUUUUGCAGCUCCAGAGCCAUCCGUGGAGCCUGCAGCCUAACCCCUGAAUCCUUACACUGUUAUGACAGGAGUUUGCUGGAAACUCCUUGAAAGAAGUGUAGUAGUCUCUCCUGGGCGACAAAGUCUAGUCCACAGCAGAGCAGAGUGCCAAGAUUCUUCCAAAUAAAAGCUACCAGAGGGCA